rnacentral:rRNA from 1 species
UACGUAGGGGGCAAGCGUUGUCCGGAAUCAUUGGGCGUAAAGCGCACGUAGGCGGCCCGGUAAGUCCGUUGUGAAAGUCAGAGGCUCAACCUCUGGAGGCCAAUGGAUACUGCCGGGCUAGAGUCCGGAAGAGGCGAGUGGAAUUCCUGGUGUAGCGGUGGAAUGCGCAGAUAUCAGGAGGAACACCAAUGGCGAAGGCAGCUCGCUGGGACGGUACUGACGCUGAGACGCGAAAGCGUGGGGAGCAAACAGG